ACAAGUCCUAGUAACAGGAAGAUUGUAAUCAGCUCCAGUUUGAGCCCUGGAAGUCAAGACUCUUAAUGGGAGGAGAGAGGGCUUGAGUUCUAGAUAGAGUUCAAUGGGGCUUUUCCCGUGACCCCCACACUGGAGGCUUGGCUGGCAGAGGAAUUGCACACAUUCCUAGAGAAGAGGAAAUGAUCACUACCCAUUCUCUGUUUGUGGAACACCCUCAAAUGUUAUUUUCUUUGUCCUUAUUCUCUCUUUCUGUUUGUGAUUGUGUAUUCUUCACAUAGGAGUUGUCAGGGCUGUAGCAUAGGGCAGCUAGCACUUCCAAAAGACUUGAUCGAAAUUUUGAAGAGGCACCGUUUACCCACGGGUCAUAGGGUCAAAGGGUCAAAGGUCAUGGGGCCAAAGGGAUGCCAGCCCUUUCCUUUAGUGAGGCAGAACAGAGAAGGUACAGACUUCUGUUCAAAGACUCUGUGGAGAGAGGCUCUGGGGCGUUGUGUGGGUGGUGGGAGCCACUAUACAGCUAUUGAUGCUGUCCUUCAAAUAGACACACAUCCACCAUUGCUCCCUGUCAUGUGCUUGGAGUGCCAUAUAAUUGUCAUAUAUUCUUGUUUCAUAUAAUAGUCAAACCCCACAGGUACUCUCUAGUUUGGCUACAUCAGCCCUCCCUCCCACCAACUUUAUCCCACUCCCUCAUGUUAGAAACCCCAAGGGUUCUCUCUAGUUUGGCUGCUGCAACUCGUACCCACCCCACCUUUAAUCCCCACUUUGGUCCACUUAGGAAAUGGUCCUUGCGCCAUCCCUGUCUCCGGCUCCUGCCUUUGUCUGCCCUCCUUCCCCAUCAAUGUCCAGAAUUCUUUUUAACCCAGGAGUGACAAGGAAAUGUCACAAUAUACAUAACUGUCAUCAUUUUGUGUCAUUAUCUGUCUCCUGGGACAAGGCCACUGUAAUACUGUUCAUGGGUCUAAGCCCUGGGGAUCUGCCAUUGAGCAAAGCAGAUCUCCAUCUCUGAUGGUGUUUUAAAGGCUGAGGGGAAGAGACAAACGAUCGAGUGCGAAUUACACCAGGUAGCAGAAGUUGCUUUUAGAAGGAGCAGAGAGUGCAGAUGGUUAGAGAGGGAAGGAGCUGUUGAGUGUGGUCCAGCAUCAGUGUGGGCCUCGCUAAGGAUGCGUUUAAGGGGAGCUCUGGAUGAAGCCACAGGGAGCCACGACCCAGGAGCUUCAAGCAAGGGAACACGGAUGGCUCUAAGGCCUAAGGCAGGAUGGUACAUGAAUUUCUGAGGGAACAUCAAAGACAUCCGACCAUGAUGCCUCAGCAAGGGUGAGAGUGAAGGGAAUCUGGCGGGAGGUGGAGAAAGAGACGAGGUUAUAGACGACGGCCAAGGAGCUAGCCCAACGUGAUGGUGAGCCGGAAGCACAGUAGGCAGCACAGUCCAGACAGCUGAAUUCUGUGCCGGAACCAUCACUCCAGUUAUUGUGUGGAUAACCGAGGGAAGCUGAUGACUGGAGAGAGUAAGAGUCAGAGACCCCAGCUGGGAGCCUGUCUGUAGUCUAGCCUUGGCGUGGUCUCCUAGGAUUGGUCUCAGUGGGUUGUAAUUUAUUAGGACAUAGCACGAAUUUUGAAGGUUAAAAACAGUCCUAAUGGAAUGGAUGCUGAGGCCAUACAUGAAAACAGCUUCAGGAAACUCUAAAUGUACUGGAAAUGCCAUUUGGCUUACAUCUGCCUCACGCAGGAGAUAUCUGUCACGGUUUAUAACUCAUGAUGUAUUCCUUAUCACAGUCAUGUUCCCAGUAAUCCUAAAUUAUUUUAACAUAUCUCUUCUUGUUGACUCACCAUAAAUGACCGAAUUGUAUUAUGUGUGUACAAAUAUAUGUAUGUAUAUACAGAUAUACAUGUAUGCAUAUAUUAUUUUUUAGAAUUUUAUGAUGAAUAUAAUCUUUUAUUAAGUCUAUUCUCUCUUCUCUAAUACUCUCUACUAUUUUUCCCCUUUUGUGUGUGUGUGUGUGUGUGUGUGUGUGUGUGUGUGUGUGUUGUUUUAAAACUCAUUGAGUCUACUGAGCCCUGCCAGCAUGUGUGUGAAUUCGAGACCAUCUACUGGAACACGCAUAGCUUCUUGGAAGCUACACCCCAAAAGAAAACGGACUUUUCCAGUCUCAGAAGCUAUAGCUGUCCACAGUUGUUCAGCUAGGGGUGAGAAUCCUGAGCACCUGCUUCUACAUGCUGGAAUUCUGUCGGGCUUAAUGCUCUGCAGGUGUUUGCAUGCUGCCACAGCUGAUCUGAGAUCACAAACACUGAUGAAGGUCACAAUAGGUAUAUUGUGGUUUCCCCCUUCCCUCCCCUCCCUCCUUCCCUCCGUCCCUGUCUCUCUCUCUCUCUCUCUCUCUCUCUCUCUCCCUCCCUCCCUCUCUCUCCCCCCUCUCUCUGUCCGUCUCUCUUCUAUUCUUCCCUUCCCUUUCUGUCUCCCUCCCUCCCUCUCUCUCCUCCCUCUCUCUGUCUGUCUCUCUUCUAUUCUUCCCUUCCCUUUCUCUCUUCUUCCCUCCCUCCCCCUUUCUGUCUCCCUCCCUCCCUCUCUCUCCCCCUUCAUCCUGACUCAGCUUUUCAAGUGCUGAGAUCACAUCUGUGAAGCACCUUCCCUGGCUUUCAGGCAGUAGAAAAUUUUGAAAACGCACAAUCCAUAAAAUAAAUAAAUUUACGAAGUAUUACAAAAUAAAUGCACCAGUAUUUAACAAAACUGCACAUUUUUUAUGUUUGGCAAAUAUUUAGCAGAAUCACAUAAUUUAUAGGACUGGUAACCUUACUUUCAGAUAUUUAUGCCAGCGAUUCUCUUAGUGGAAAAAAAAAAAGACACAUGUCACCGAGGCAAUCAUCACAGUUCUACCCUUGUAAUAUCGAGCUACUAAGAGUAGCUCAAUGCACAUGAAGGAGGUGUACUUGAGUGUGUUAUAGCAAUCUAUAACAGAGUAAGAUGCAGCUUUAAGAAGAGAAUGGCUGUAUUUAUGCAAUUCCUUCUUGGAUAAGUAGAAUGGUGGCUUCUUUACUUCAUUCUAAGUGCUUUAAAGUAAUCCUCAUGGUGUCUUAAUGAAUGACACAAGUAUAUUGUGUUACACUAACAGUAAUUUGUUUUUGUGUGUGCAUUCAGAGAAAGAGGCACAGAAAUUCAGUCACAUACAUUUAUAGACUAAUUUACAUACCUACGUAAAUAUAGUCAAAGUUGACUUUAUUCUGUGGUCCAAGUUAUUGAAAGAACAAUGCUUUUUGACUUAGUUAUCAUAAGCAUCUGAGAUCGUCAAUCUUCACGCAACCCAACUGGCUUUUAACUCGUGCUUGUCCCAGGAGCUCGUCCAUUGCUAACCUGUGUGAGCUUUCCUGGAUAAAGACUUAUUUCUCUGCCUCUGUUCUUUCUCCUUACAGUCUGUUUCCAGAAUUCAGAUAAGGCUGUAGGUUACGCUGUGCACAAGCAAUAAUCCAUGAAGACAGCAUAUAAUGAGAAUUGAGGACUCGAAAGGGCUAUUUCUUUUGUUAAGAGAAACAAGCAGAAUUUUAAAAACUAGAUAAGACUACUUUUUCUGUUUCUUGAUUUAAAACGGAACAAACUACACACCCUAUGCAAACCAAAGUAGGAAAACUGUGGUUUGUCAAACUGGCCACAAGGAUAUAAGUUACAUUUGUAACUCUAGCCGGGGUAUACUCAGAAAACACAUACAGUCUUUGGCUAAUCUGGUUUAAGCUCGUAAUAACUCAAGUAUUCUCUGGGAGAGCUGGAUAAAGUCACCCAAAGGGAUUUGCUUUUCAGUUUAUGGGAGCUCGUCUCGGUACAGCACUCUGCCGAAUCGAUCUCUGAGUAUUUGAUACUCGUUUAUCCUGCAGUGGAAACCAUCCACAGAGGACAAGGGGCUGGCAAUCACCAGACCACAGGCUCUGCAGAGCUCCUGGAGAGAGAUUUCUGGGUGAUCAGAACCAGAAGUUCCUAGACUCCAGGUUUUAGGUGACCGUACUAGGAAGUUUCUUUUCUGUCAGUUUUUAGAUGGUGAUCCCUGGAACGGCCAGGCCUAGGGGUUUCUGCUCACUUUUACAUGUGCCUAUGUCGCAAACUCUCAGAUGGUCACCUCUGACAACAAGGUGAUGGCAGAUCCCCCGAUGAUGUCUCUGGAAGAGCCUGGACCACAGAUUCUGGGGCUCUGCACCGGGAGCUCACAUCUCAAGUUGUCCUCUCACAGAACACCACUGGGCUCAAGUUUAACCUCAUCCCUCAGUGAGGCAAUUCUUGCUAAUAAGCACACAUCUCUUUGAAGGCACAUCAAAGGGGUGAAAUGUCGGAGAAUAAACUACCAUCUGCCUUCCUCACGAUACGAUCCGCCCAAGCCUCAACCUUGAACUUAGGAUAAGCCUGGCUAAGUUUUAUAAGACCAGUCAUGCCAAGACUUUCAUACAUCAUAAUCAAGCUUUAACAGAUUCCAUUGGAUGUGUUUUCAUCUGUGACUCACUGUUUGUCUCUUAGUCAUUUUAGAAAAAAAUAAAAUGGGUAAACUUUGUUUUAAGUGCCCUGGGUCAAAUUUGGAUCGGCGUGAUUCAUAGAAGUUAUGGUGAGGGUUGGAGAGGCAGCUCAAUGCCUGCUUCAAGUCUAAGACCAGCAAUGAAAGAGGACUGUUGAUGCUUCUGAAAUUUAUUGUUAGAAACAUCAUUCGUCUGCCAACCCACUCUCUUCUGUGUCUGGUCAUCACCCACUCAUUUCACCCCCACAACUUUGGGGAUUUGUUGCUGAUUCAGAAGGGCUCCAGGUUGGCAGAGAACAUGUUGUUGCCAACUAUGGUGAUGCUCACUUGUUAAGGACCUGAGAUUGGUUCUCAGCACCCAUGUUGGUGAGCUUACAACAGCUACAGCUCCAUGAGAUCUGAUAGGACCUCCAGUGCUGUAUGCAUCUGCACGCGCGCGCGCACACACACACACACACACACACACACACACACACACACACACAC